UUAAGGACAGGGGGACCGCUAACUGCAGUCGAGCGGAGAUGAGGUGCUUGCACCUUAUCUUAGCGGCGGACGGGUGACUAAUGCUUAGGAAUCUGCCAUUUAGUGGGGGACAACAUCUCGAAAGGGAUGCUAAUACCGCAUACGUCCUACGGGAGAAAGCAGGGGAUCUUCGGACCUUGCGCUAAAUGAUGAGCCUAAGUCGGAUUAGCUAGUUGGUGGGGUAAAGGCCUACCAAGGCGACGAUCUGUAGCGGGUCUGAGAGGAUGAUCCGCCACACUGGGACUGAGACACGGCCCAGACUCCUACGGGAGGCAGCAGUGGGGAAUAUUGGACAAUGGGCGGAAGCCUGAUCCAGCCAUGCCGCGUGUGUGAAGAAGGCCUUUUGGUUGUAAAGCACUUUAAGCGAGGAGGAGGCUACUUAGAUUAAUACUCUAGGAUAGUGGACGUUACUCGCAGAAUAAGCACCGGCUAACUCUGUGCCAGCAGCCGCGGUAAUACAGAGGGUGCGAGCGUUAAUCGGAUUUACUGGGCGUAAAGCGUGCGUAGGCGGCUGAUUAAGUCGGAUGUGAAAUCCCUGAGCUUAACUUAGGAAUUGCAUUCGAUACUGGUCAGCUAGAGUAUGGGAGAGGAUGGUAGAAUUCCAGGUGUAGCGGUGAAAUGCGUAGAGAUCUGGAGGAAUACCGAUGGCGAAGGCAGCCAUCUGGCCUAAUACUGACGCUGAGGUACGAAAGCAUGGGGAGCAAACAGGAUUAGAUACCCUGGUAGUCCAUGCCGUAAACGAUGUCUACUAGCCGUUGGGGCCUUUGAGGCUUUAGUGGCGCAGCUAACGCGAUAAGUAGACCGCCUGGGGAGUACGGUCGCAAUACUAAAACUCAAAUGAAUUGACGGGGGCCCGCACAAACGGUGAAGCAUGUGGAUUUAAUUCUAUACGACGCAGAAGAACCUGACCUGGCCUUGGAACAGGGAGAAACUAUACAGGAGAUUGAAUUAGUGGCUUUCUGGCAACUUAAAUCAGAG
rnacentral:rRNA from 1 species